CUUGGAAAUCUUGCUGUUUUCUCCUUUUUCAGCUUCAACAGCAACCUUGAGUUCCUCUGCCCUUAAUCUGGUUUUCAGAACUUGAUCUCCUAAGCGGGGAAUCAACACAAUUUGGCAGUCACUGAGCAAAGAUUCCCACAUGGUUCUUGGACCACAGUGAUUCACGAAACACCCAAUAGAUGGGUGACUGAGUAACAGCUCUUGGGGAAACCAACCACCAUGCAGCAACCCUCUUCCUUGAAUCCUUUCUUGAAACCCCUCAGGCAAUGCCUCUUCAAUCCUUGUGCAUUCGUCUGGUGGUGUUAAAGCCACCAAGAAAGGUUGCCCUGAUAACUCAUGCCCAAGAACUCACUCUUGAAACUCCUCCUUUUGCAAUGUAAUCUGGCUCCCAAAUGCACAAAACACCACAGAACUUGGCUCAAAGUUGCUUAGCCAAUUAGCCCAUUUGUCUUCAAGCUGCGUGGCAUUUGUUUCAGGGAGGCAAGUCCCCCGUUAGCAUUACAGGCUUGCCAAAAUGUUGAGCAACAUAGUCACAGUAAGGUCCCUCAAUUUCACGGUGAGCCCUAAAGGCUAUGACAUCACUGUCAUUCAUGCUAGUUAUUAUCCGGUCCCGAAAUGACAAUCCUAUUCCAAAGAUUUUCAGCGCACUUGUCAGAACGGAAGCCUCUUCAGCUCUGAGUUUCACCUUGGAAGAAGGAUAACCAGGAGGAACUUCUAUCAACUCUUCUACAGUCAUUUCCUUUGUAACUUUCUUUGUCAAGAAAUAAGCGUGUGCGGCUGCAGUCACCACGGCAUAGUAAAUGGACUUGAUGUCGAUUUGGUGCGCCAAGGCUGGAAUCCAAUACCCGAAAUCAUAGAAAACUAUAUCAGGCUUUAUAGACCUUAAAAUGGCUUCAACUUGAUCUCGUGUUUGAUCAAAUGCAAUAGCAAACAAGCUAUGCAGUGGUAGAGGAACAUCGGAUGUAGUUUGGGCGCCUGGCAGGAUACCAUCUACAUGGGAAACAACAAGAGGAAAGAACUGAAUAAGAUUUGGAUAUUGGUUAAGUUGUUCCAACUUUGGCUGUGCUCCUUUAGGCAAUAAGAAGGAGACCUCGUGGUCUUUCUCAGCAAGCUUGUUUGACAGGUGAAGGAAAGGGAUGAAAUGGCCAAAGGAAAACCAUGGAAACAUGGCUACGUGAAGCUUGGAGGUGUUGGAGUUUUUCAUCUUUGCCUUGCAAACUGUGUUACUGUGACUGAGUUCAAAGGAAGUUAUAUAUAGGGGUAUUUUUAAAAGUACCCCUUAAAAGAUAAGAUACUUUUAAAAAUAACUCUCUUUAUAAUUUUAACUAUUUUUAGCUAAAUUAGAUAAAAUUACCCUUAAUAAAAUAACACGCUAUGUUGUUACAUGUCAUGUACAAAAACAUAUGAUACGCUAUGGUUAAGUUGUUACAUGUCAUGUACAAAAAUAUGUGACAUGUCAUGGUUAAGUUGUUACACGUUAUGUUAAAAAAAAAUACUGUUGUUACACGUCAUGUACAAAAACAUGUUACACGCCAUGGUUAGGUUGUUACAUGCUAUGUACAAAAACAUCUGAUAUAUCAUGAUUAGGUUGUUACUUGUCAUGUUAAAAAAAAAUGUUAUUGUUACACGCCAUGGUUAGGUUGUUACACGCCAUGGUUAGGUUGUUACACGCCAUGUUGAAAAAAAAUACUGUUGUUACAUGUCAUGUACAAAAAUAUGUUACACGUCAUGGUUAAAAAAGAUUAUUACAUGUUAUGUUGAAAAAAAAAUAUUGUUGUUACAUGCCAUAUUGAAAAAAUAUUGUUGUUACACGUCAUAUUUAAAAACAAUUUGUUACACUUUAAUGCCUAAAAUAUUGUUGUUAUUUACGAACCAAAACUUCAAUUCCUCUCAACUCUCUUCUUUUUUUUUGUUUUUUUUUUGAUAAUUUAGCGCCAAUUAAAGUGUUUAUAAUAUGUUUUCAUAAAUCAAAACAUAAAUUUUUUUAUCUAAAACACCUAUUUCAACUAAAAAUAAAAAAAUUUCUUUUGAAAACCUAGGUUUAUAAAUUUCAAAAUUUUGAGUUUAUUGGUGUUUAGGUCUCGAAUUGAUUCAAUUAAGAACUAUUUCAAACAUCUAAGAUCAUUUUUACCAUUUUAAUUUUAUCCAAAAUACCUACAAAUCAAAUUCUCUAAAUAGCUACUCACCAAAGCACAUCAAAACCAUUACUUGGUGUCUUGAAAACACAAGAAAGAAAAAUCUUAAAAUGAGAGAGAGAGAAAUCGGAAGUAUAGCAGACGAAUGUCGAAGAGAGAAAUUGAUAAAAUUUGAGAGAGUAGGAUGGUGAGAGAGAAAUCAGAAGCACAAAUGGAGAAAAAUUGUGAUGAAUGAUUUAAUUUAUUUAAAAUAAUUUCAAAAGUAUUUUUGUCAUGACUAAAUAUAAUUAAAAAUAAUUAAAUUUAUUUUAAUGAUUAUUUUUAAAAUAUUUUUAUUAAAAAAAUUUAUUCCUUAUAAUUUUCUCUUAUAUAUAUCAACAUUACGUGCCUGACAAAACUGCUAGAAAUUUUGUCGGCAUGGCCAAAAUGCAAGUCAUCAUAGUAAUUUGCCAUGACAGCAGCCAAAUUUAUAUAAGACCCUACUUGACUUGACGUAGACAUCCUUUCACAGCAGAAAAUGGGUGGAAUAAUUAUCAAAAACUUAAAAUUUUAUUUUAUUAAAUUAAUUAAAUAAGUAAACCGUUAUGUUAACUUUACAUGAAAUAAUUUAAAUAAGGUGGGCCAAGGUGGGGCUCCUUUCAAUGGUACAAAUGCCUUUAAUGAGAGGACACUCGGAAAUGAUCCCUUCAUCAAUAUGAUCCACUCAUACAAAGCCCUUCUUAAAUUAAAAGUCACUUAUGACAUUUGGUAUUACGUUAAUAAUUGAGUUCAAUGCUGGUAGGAGCUCAACAACUUGAUGUAACAAUAUUUAUGAAAAAAAGAAUGUAGAUUCGUGGUCGUAAACGUGUCGCUGGAUAUUGUGCAUUUAUUUGUGUUGAAUUAUUGAGUAAGAUGUAUUCGAUUAAUCAAAUGAAAUAGUUGGUUCAAAGUAUAGUCUUUCAUGUAAUUUUGUUUAACUUUAACACGUUUUUACUAAAUGAAAGUUCAAUCGGAUGAUAUGAGUUUCUAAUCAAUUCGAUAUCCAUAUUAUAUUAGUGCAAUCCAAUUCCAAAAAUUUUUGGGCUUAAUUGUCUCAAUAGCAGCCCCUUCAGCUUUGUAUCUCACCUUGGAAGAAGGAUAACCAGGAGGAAGCUUUAUCAGCUCUUCUACAGUCAUUUCCUCUGUAAUUUUCCUUGUGCUAUGCGCGUUUGCGGCUUUAGAGAACAUGAAAUAGCCAAUGGGCUUGAUGCCGAUUUGGUGAGCCAAGGCUGGAAUCCAAUUUCCCCAAAUCAUAGAAAACCAUAUCAGGCUUUGUAUGGCCCUUAAAAUGGCUUCAACUUGAUCUCGAGUUUGAUCAAUUGCAAUAACAAGCAAGCUACUUAGUGGCUGAGGAACAUCAGAUGCAUUUGUUUUGGAUAUGGCAAUUUCUGCGAGAAUGGAACUAAGGAACUGGGGGAUAUGAAGAAAGAAGUCACGACUACGAGGGAAGAGAUGUGGAGUAUGAAGUCAUAUCAACUAUUGCGCUGAUCCUCCAACAUGUGAAGCCGGUAACCAAUUUAGAGGCUUCAUCACAGUAGUCGGGCCCUUUUAAUAGUAAGGAGGCACGACUGAGGGACAAUGAUACUAGUUAGAUUAUAAGUUUAUUUAUUUAUAUAUUUUUUAUUGAUUGCAAUAUCGAAUAGUUUGUAAUUUUUUAUUUAUUUUUAUAAAAAUCAAAUAUUUUUUAUAAAUAUUAGUAUUUUUCAAUAUUAUUAUUUAUUUGUAUUUGCAUUAUUCAUUUGGAAUGACAACAAGAAUGAACAAAACCAAACAAUUUCAAUGGUCCUAGAAAAAAAAUGGUUUCAGAUACAUUCCACUUUAUUACUAAUGGAAUUACCAAUUGAUAUAGCAGUUUACCGACGAAAUUAUGUACAGCGUUAAUGAUAGAAUAAACUUCAUCAUCGGCAGAAAUGAAGACAUCAUCGAUGAAAACUACAUACAUUCGAACUACUGAGCUUCAUUAGCACUUCUGUUCAAAAUUCUGUCUAUAAAUUACUGGCAAAAUUUGCCGAUGAAAUGCUAUCAAUAUAGACCAAUCAUCCCUCCGACGGAUUGGAUGCUUUGUUGACUGAGUUUUCGAUAGAAUAUUCUGUCAACAAUUUUUCAAUGAAAUAUUCAAAUACUGAUGGCAUGCCCUUUACCGGUGGUGAUAUUUUCUAUGAAUUUUGAACUUUUAUCAACGGAAAUUUUCAUUGGUAAAAGUGUUAAAUUUGGUAGUGGAAUAGCACCUGAGUAUUGGUUCAUUGGUUGGUGCAUUAUCCCCUACCUAAAGAGUAGGGUUCGAAUCCCCUCUCCUUCAAUUAUAUAAAAAAAAAAUAGUAGUGAAAUAACUAUCGUUAGUCAAAAUGUCACUUGUUAUUUCAUGUCACAUGAUGCUAACAUGACAUGUUGAAAAAACAUAAUGACAUUAUUACGUGAUAUUUUUCAUGCUUUGUGUCAACGUCAUAUGAGUAUAAAAACUACAAAAUGACAUUUUAAUUAAUCACAGUUAGUCAAUCUUUAAUAAAAAAGAUCUAUAUGAAUUAAAAUAAAAGUACAGGUUUUUAAUUUAACGUAAUAAAAAAAUAAAUUUUUUUAAUAACUUAGGAUUUAUUGCAAUUUGGGUUUAGGUCUACAUUAGUUUAUAGAUGGGUAACAAUUUAUUGCAAUUUGCAAGACAAAUCUUUCAUUCCAAUUUGAGGGAUUCUUGACUGUUAAUCAUAUUCAGAUUUUAUUAUCAAGGAAAAUACAUCACGCACCAAUUAUUUGAGAAACCACUAACAUUGUUUAUUUAUUUAUUGUAUGGAGCAAUUAACAAUGAGUUCAUGCACUUUUGGACUUUUGAGGGAUUGGGUGAGGAGAGAUGCAUAAAAGAAAAUGAGAAUAUGAUGGAAUAAAUAUAGUUUGUUUUUUUAAUACCCCAACUCAAAAAUACGAUUACAUUAUUAUGUUUCCAAAAUCUUAAACUUGAUAAAUAGGUUUUAUUAAAAUUACUUAUAAAAUAUUUGAGCGUAAAAUAGAAUAGUUGUAUAUUAAGGACCUUUUAGCAAAUAGAGUGGUUUUAUUUUAAUUGGAGUCUGAUUAUAUUAUCAUGUUAAAAAAAAUAGUUAUAUCUUAUCAUAUUUUAAAAAGAAAAUCAAUUGAUUUUAUUUAAGUCAAUUUUAAAAAGAGAAGUAGUAAGACAAGUUUAAAGAAAAACAGGUAAAGUCAGUUUAUUUUAUCACAUAUAAGGAAGUUAAGGUUAGUUUUUAUUAUCAUGUUUAAAGAAAAGAAAAAAAAUACAGCAAAAAAAAUUAUUUGGGAGAAACUAAUCCUAUAGAAGAAGGUAGAAAAAGGAAAGAUUUGUUUAAGAAAGCAGUGAUUAAGGUAUGAUUAGGUUUUGACUUUAGUUUAUGUUUUUUUAAAUUUUGUUCAAAUUCGGUACUGUUCUGAUGACUUUUCAGUGGUAUGAUGGGUACCAAUGGAAAGGUCUUGAAAAGAUCUUUCCAAUGGUUUAUGUAGCUUCUCGUUUGGCUUUAUGAUUAAAAAGAUACGAACUUUUGAAGUUGAUUGGAAACCUGAUUUUAAUAGUUUUGACGAUCCAACUUUGAGUCAACGGAACUUCAUAUUCUGGUAACAUUUUGGGUUGUUUCUUUGAGGGCUUUUGCAGUAUGAAAUGAGGUGUUUAAUUUGGUGUCAAUGGCUUAGUUAGGGCUUCCUAAGUUAGGAGAAUUAAAGUCUCAAAAUAGGUUCGUUGAUAUUAAAAACCCAGAAAUCUGAGUAAGUAUGAUGAUUUCUAAAAUUUUGGCUUUUGAAACUUGAGAAUCUUGUAUUCUUUUUAAUCAAAACAAAUUUUGGCGUUAUAGUAUGAUAUGAAUACUUCAAAUUGGCGUUGAAUUUAUCAUUGGAAAUAAUUCGGGUUAAGAGUUAUCAGUGUUUGAAGUAAGCCAAAUGGUCAUGAAAAUAUGAAAUUUCAAAAUUUAUGAGAAUCCAUUUUUCAUUAUUUCAAAAAUUAUUCUUGACCUAUAUUCAACCUAUUUUGAUAGAAACUUCAGAAAUUUAAGCUAUUUGAAUUUUAGUGAAUUUUAUUUAUGAAUAAAUAUUUAUCUGAUAAAUUAAUUUGAAUUGACAUAUUUUAAAAAUUUUUAUUAAAAAUCUUCAGAUCUAAUUUUUGAUUUGUAUUUAAAAUAUUAUUACCCAACCUCAUAUUGUUACUGAUUUUGUACUAUAAUCUAUGAGUUUCUAAGUUUUGAAUAUUUUAUGUAUUUAUAAAUUAUUAAAGGAAUAAAAAUUGAUUUUCGAUCAGAAAAAAGAGGUGCUGCACCCUAAAUGCCUUAGAAUGACCACCAAAGAGUCGUGGUUCGUUUUGAUAGGUUAGCAAUGCUGUUUUCUAAUUUCGAGUAUUUUGAAUUAAUAGACUUCAAGAAGAUUUUAAUUCUUUGUCUUUUGAUUUUGGUUUUAGCGAAUCAAGUAAGUGACAAAUAUCUCUUCGGUGUUUUCAUACCCUAAAAUUUACCUCAAUGUGAUUUUCAUACUUAUAUAUGAUAUUUUGUCCUAUGAUUUGUUAAAUCGGGUGAGCAUGCUAAUAAAUGUAAGUAAAUAUGAUCUCUAUGCUGAUUUUUGGAAUAUGAUUUCGAUUUUUGUUUUGGAACAUAAGUUUUAUCAUUGUAUGCAUAUAUGAUUAUCUUUAUAAAUAUUUAAUUUGAAACGAUUAUGUUUUUGAUAAGCAUGAGAUAGUGGAUACACUAUUUUGAGAAAUUCGGGUAGUACAAAAAUAUAUGUUUCUGUUUUGUCUCCUAGUAUGGUUAUGUUAUGAUCCUGCCAAUGGGGGUUAAAUGUUGACCAUGUCGACAUAUAUUUUGUGAUUAGAAAUCGAUCUCCCAACCGCACCACCAGUUACAGAAUAACAGUAUUUCUGAUAUCUGUUCAGAGCAGCCAAUGAUUGCUUCUGAUAUGAUUAUGACCCAUGUCACAAGGGUUAAUUGUGGUUUCGAUACGAUUAUGACCCAUGCCACUAAGGUUAAUAAUGGUUUCUGCUAUAAUUAUGACCUAUGUCGUAAGGGUUAAGUAUGACCAUAGUAUGUUAUAGGAGACCAAUAAAAAUUUGAAAUUAAUGUGAAAUUAUGUUUUGUUCUGUUAUUUGAAAGUUUCGAAAUUGUGUUAGUUAUGUUAUUGGAAGCAAAAUUAUGUUUGCUUUUAUAAUUUAAAAAUAAAAUUUUGAAAUAUAUGUUUCUGAAUGAGAUUACUCAAAAUUUUGUUUUGACACCUAUAUAUGAAUUAGUAAUUUGGGCUUAAAUGUUUUGAGCAUGCUUAACCCGAUUGAAGAGAUUUCCGUUACUUACUGAGUGGUUGUACUCAUUCAAUUAAUUUUCAUCAUUUUACAAAUUUCAACAUCUUUGCAUGUUUGGGAGUUAGACUUGCUUGGCAAGAGUUUUGGUUAGCAAAAUUAACGUAUGCCCUUGAAUAAUUAUAAGCUUUGAUGUGAGUAAUUAGUUUUUAGUUUAUUAAGCAGAUGUUAGCUAGAUCAGAAAUUUUGUAUCAUUGGGGGAUUGUAUGUUAAUAUUAUAUUUUGAGACUUGAAAUUUUGUGAGGUGUCAACUUUGAAAAGAUUGUGGAGAUAUUAUAUUGAUUAAGUAUGAUAUUGUUGCCUUGCAUGCUUAUAGAAUUUGUCUCAUAAGUAUGUGACGUUUGUUAUGUUCUAAAACUUUGAGUUUGGAACGUGACAUUUUUCAUCCCCUACCGCUAUUCAAUUCAUUUAGAGCCAAGACAUUAGAGAUUAAGAAUAUUGAAGGAAAUUUACAAUGAACUUAUUGCAUUAUAUCAGAUUGGAAUCUGAUAGACAUUAAGAAAGCUAGGCACAAACACCACUAAAACAGGUUUACCAAACUCGGAUUCUAAAUUGGAUUCUUCUUCUUCUUUUGCAAUUUGGAUCUUAAUUAUUUGACCAGAUCUUGCAGACCUUUGAUGAAGUUAUUGAUAUAUUCUUCUUGAAGAUCUCUGUUAGAAAGAAUCUUCUUGAGCUUGGCAUGGUUUCUCUUCAACAGACCAGAUAUUUCAUUGUCCUUGUCCAUCACCAACUUGAUGGCUUUGCUCAAGUUCUCCUUGGAAAUCUUGCUGUUUUCUCCUUUUUCAGCUUCAACAGCAACCUUGAGUUCCUCGACCAUGAAUCUGGUGUUCAGAAUUUGAUCUCCUAAGCGGGGAAUGAACACAAUUUGGCAGUCACUGAGCAAAGAUUCCCACAUGGUUCCCGGACCACAGUGAUUCACGAAACACCCAAUAGAUGGGUGACUGAGUAACAGCUCUUGGGGAAACCAACCACCAUGCAGCAACCCUCUUCCUUGAAUCCUUUCUUGAAACCCUUCAGGCAAUGCCUCUUCAAUCCUUGUGCAUCCGUCUGGUGUUGUUAAAGCCACCAAGAAAGGUUGCCCUGAUAACUCAAGCCCAAGAACUAACUCUUGAAACUCCUCCUUUUGCAAUGUAAUCUGGCUUCCAAAUGCACAAAACACCACAGAACUUGGCUCAAAGUUGCUUAGCCAAUUAGCCCAUUUGUCUUCAAGCUGUGUGGCAUUUGUUUCAGGGAGGCAAGUCCCCGUUAGCAUUGCAGGCUUGCCAAAAUGUUGAGCAACAUAGUCACAGUAAG
rnacentral:lncRNA from 1 species